CUUGACCAUUGACCUC
rnacentral:rRNA from 1 species